GGCUCAGGAUGAACGCUAGCUACAGGCUUAACACAUGCAAGUCGAGGGGAAACGACAUCGAAAGCUUGCUUUUGAUGGGCGUCGACCGGCGCACGGGUGAGUAACGCGUAUCCAACCUGCCCACCACUUGGGGAUAACCUUGCGAAAGUAAGACUAAUACCCAAUGAUAUCUCUAGAAGACAUCUGAAAGAGAUUAAAGAUUUAUCGGUGAUGGAUGGGGAUGCGUCUGAUUAGCUUGUUGGCGGGGUAACGGCCCACCAAGGCGACGAUCAGUAGGGGUUCUGAGAGGAAGGUCCCCCACAUUGGAACUGAGACACGGUCCAAACUCCUACGGGAGGCAACAGUGAGGAAUAUUGGUCAAUAGGCGAGAGCCUGAACCAGCCAAGUAGCGUGCAGGAUGACGGCCCUAUGGGUUGUAAACUGCUUUUAUAAGGGAAUAAAGUGAGUCUCGUGAGACUUUUUGCAUGUACCUUAUGAAUAAGGACCGGCUAAUUCCGUGCCAGCAGCCGCGGUAAUACGGAAGGUCCGGGCGUUAUCCGGAUUUAUUGGGUUUAAAGGGAGCGUAGGCCGGAGAUUAAGCGUGUUGUGAAAUGUAGAUGCUCAACAUCUGAACUGCAGCGCGAACUGGUUUCCUUGAGUACGCACAAAGUGGGCGGAAUUCGUGGUGUAGCGGUGAAAUGCUUAGAUAUCACGAAGAACUCCGAUUGCGAAGGCAGCUCACUGGAGCGCAACUGACGCUGAAGCUCGAAAGUGCGGGUAUCGAACAGGAUUAGAUACCCUGGUAGUCCGCACGGUAAACGAUGGAUGCCCGCUGUUGGUCUGAAUAGGUCAGCGGCCAAGCGAAAGCAUUAAGCAUCCCACCUGGGGAGUACGCCGGCA
rnacentral:rRNA from 1 species